rnacentral:rRNA from 1 species
UGGGGAAUUUUGGACAAUGGGCGAAAGCCUGAUCCAGCAAUGCCGCGUGUGUGAAGAAGGCCUUCGGGUUGUAAAGCACUUUUGUCCGGAAAGAAAUCCUCUGGGUUAAUACCUCGGGGGGAUGACGGUACCGGAAGAAUAAGCACCGGCUAACUACGUGCCAGCAGCCACGGUAAUACGUAGGGUGCAAGCGUUAAUCGGAAUUACUGGGCGUAAAGCGUGCGCAGGCGGUUUUGUAAGACGGAUGUGAAAUCCCCGGGCUUAACCUGGGAACUGCAUUCGUGACUGCAAGGCUAGAGUAUGGCAGAGGGGGGUAGAAUUCCACGUGUAGCAGUGAAAUGCGUAGAGAUGUGGAGGAAUACAGAUGGCAGACGNCCAGGCCCCAUGGCAAUCUGACGCUCAUGCACGAAAGCGUGGGGAGCAAACAGGAUUAGAUACCCUGGUAGUCCACGCCCUAAACGAUGUCAACUAGUUGUUGGGGAUUCAUUUCCUUAGUAACGUAGCUAACGCGUGAAGUUGACCGCCUGGGGAGUACGGUCGCAAGAUUAAAACUUAAAGGAAUUGACGGGGUCAUAGCU